GGGUCUAAUUUUAUUAGUUUUUAUCAUUUUAUAUAUUAAAUGUGAUAUUUGUGUUCAGAUGUCUGUUUAAAUGUGCCCAGAUUGUAUUGUGUAUGUGUUUGUCGUUUAUUGGUGUUACAUGUUACAGGGUGUGAUGUUUUGUGUUCUCUGUGUUAUGUCUUGCUGUAUUUUGUGUUACAGUUUACACCCUGUGAUCUAAGUCCAAAGUCUAUGUCCUUUUCUUGUGUUUUAUUGGUCACUAUUUUUAUUUCCUUUGUUGGUCAGUUUUGGCGGGAAUGCUAUUGUUAGGGUAGUUAGACUCCUGUCGGUCAAGCUGACCACAAGUAUAUUUUCCUGGUUCAAGAUUUUAGACAGGUUAAAAAUAUAUUGAAAGAGAAAGAUAUUGACAGAGAACUUGGAAGUAUUGUGUAGGAUGGCUCUGUGCCACACACAGAGUGACUACCGGUACAUUACAUUCCAUUCCAUUCCUUUCCGUAUUGGUUCUCGUUCGUGUUCACGUUUUGUACAACAUGUGCUGUGUGUAAUACCUGGUCGAAACUCUUCAGAAUAAAGAACUCAUCAUCUUACUACCGGCUUUUAUCUUGUAUGAAAAGCAACACGGUUACAUUUGGAGCCUCCAGUGAUCUCUGAUUCGACGGUAUUCGACUUACAGGCAUGAUGUGUUUGCUCUAGCGAUAAUCGCAGUAACAGUUGUCGCCUGACAGCGACUUUGUGGGAUGUACGUAUACGUUCACAAUGUACGUGUGCACAAACACCAGCUGAUCGGGUGAAGGUCAGUAUUCAAGCGUCUGCUUGAUGGAGACUAUU